UGCCCAGCAAGUCCUAUCCCUACUUGCUCGUGGUACUGGCCGGGGUACGAGCAACCUUAGGGAAGAUCUGGUAACCAACGCCGGUGGGAACUUUGGUCGUAUGCUGAUAGGGAAGG
rnacentral:ribozyme from 1 species